rnacentral:rRNA from 1 species
AUGGCGACGGAGGUGACCCUGCGCCGCUUCGACCUCUCGGACGUGGACGCCAUGAUGGCAUGGGCGUCCGACCCCGAGGUCGCCGCCUUCUGCCGCUGGGCGCCCUUCGCGUCCACGGAGACGGAAGCCCUGCUCGCCCACAUCCGGGACACCGCGCUCUCGCACCAGUGGUACCGCGCCAUCUGCCUCGCCGGCGACGCUCGCCCCGUCGGCUCGGUGUCCCUGGAGCCCACGGCUGACCCGUGCCGCGGGGAGCUCGGCUACGUGGUGGCCCGCGCGCACUGGGGCAGGGGCGUGGCCACCGCCGCCGUGAGGGCCGCGCUCGCCGCGGUGUUCGGCGAGGUGGAGGGGCUGGCGCGCGUGGAGGCGCUGGUGGACGUGGACAACGCGGCGUCGCAGCGCGUGGCGGAGAAGGCCGGGUUCCGCCGCGAGGGCGUCCUGCGGCGCCACUACUGGCACAAGGGCCGCGUCAGGGAUCUCGUCGUCUACGGCUUCGUCUCCGGCGACCCCUUGCCCCCAUCACAUGAGGAUGAGGCUCGGAGAUCGAUGGAGCGAGAAGCGGCAGCCCGGACGCCGGAGCGCGCGGACGAGGUGACCCUCCGGCCGUUCGACCUCGCCGACGCCAUGACGGCGUGGGCGGAACACCCCGUACUGGUACCGCCUACGGCCUCCAUGGCGUCGGGGGUCUACUUCUCCCCGCCCCGCGACGCCCUGCUCGCGUUCCUCCGGGGCACCGACCCUCCGCACACCUGGAUCCGCGCAGUCUGCCUCGGCGGCGCCAUCGUGGGCGCGGUGACCGUGUCGCGCACAGAGGACCGGUGCCGCGCGGAGGUCGGAACCGCGCUGGCGCGCGCGCACCGGGGCACGGGCGUGGCCGCGGCGGCCCUGAGGCGCGCGGCGACCGCGGCGUUGGGGGACCUGGAGGGCGUGGAGCGCGUGGAGGCGCUGGUGGACGCGGACGACGCCGCGUCCCGGCGCGCGGUGGAGGACGCCGGGUUCCGCCGCGAGGCCGUGCUGCGGAGCCACCGCGACGCCAAGGACGUGGUCGUCUACAGCCUCAUCUCCACAGACGACGACCCACUCAUCGGCUUACGCAGUUCAUGA